UUCAAAUAACUGUAUGAUUCAACACAGAGCUUGAGGAUCUUGUCUGGACACGGACACAUCUGGAUGCUCCAUGCAGUCCAAAGGACAGUGUGUCUUGGCCCAACGGAGGCGGCCGGCUGCCAGGACUCCUCUCAGCUCGCUCCCCGAAGACCCCGGGCUCCACAGAAACAGGAAAUGAACUGUGGGAUCUGUCCAUCAAGCGUGAACCUGAGUUACACAGGGGAACUCGAGGGGAGUGCUGAGGCCUGAUUGGAU